rnacentral:rRNA from 1 species
UACGUAGGUGGCAAGCGUUGUCCGGAUUUAUUGGGUUUAAAGGGUGCGUAGGCGGUUCCAUAAGUCAGUGGUGAAAUACGGCAGCUCAACUGUCGAGGUGCCAUUGAUACUGCGGAACUUGAGUGUUGAUGAGGCAGGCGGAAUUGACGGUGUAGCGGUGAAAUGCUUGGAUAUCGUCAAGAACACCGAUAGCGAAGGCAGCUUGCCAAGCAACAACUGACGCUCAGGCACGAAAGUGCGGGGAUCAAACAGG